CGGGUCUAGCGGCGGACGGGUUAGUAACGCGUGGGAAUAUACCCUUCACUACGGAAUAGCCUCGGGAAACUGGGAGUAAUACCGUAUACGCCCUUUGGGGGAAAGAUUUAUCGCCAAAGGAUUGGCCCGCGUUGGAUUAGGUAGUUGGUGAGGUAAAAGCUCACCAAGGCGAUAAUCAAUAGCUGAUUUGAGAGGAUGAUCAGCCACACUGGGACUGAGAUACGGCCCAGACUCC
rnacentral:rRNA from 1 species